rnacentral:precursor_RNA from 1 species
GAAUUACUUUAUGUUGCUUUACGAAAGUCGUAAAGCAACAUAAAGCAAGCU